rnacentral:lncRNA from 1 species
GAAUUUAAGGUCUACAGGAGGACUGUGUAGGUUCUGUGUAAAUUCUGCACCUUUUUAUAUAAGGGACUUGAGCAUCUGCAGACUGGUAUCCAAGGAGGAUUCUGGAACUCUGCUCCCAUGGAUACCAAGGGAUGGCUGUGCAUGGAGCAGCAUUACAUCUGCUGAUGACUAAAGUGGAGGAGAAGAUCUAUAGAAAAAGCUAUUUCCCCUCAUGGUAUUUUCUUUUUUUCCUAAUGCUGAACCAAUGCCAGUACAACAUCUCUUGCCUGCUUCAGAAUCUGUCACAUGAAAAUGGAAACCCAAACUGGCUUGAGCUAUUAUGGGAUGACAGCCUGGCUCCACCAACAAAGACACAGAAAUUGCCCUUUGAUGAUCUCAUCCUAUUAGCCCCUCUACUGCUGGACAGCCUAUCAGUGACAGGUCCUCCCUUGCUUAUUAUGUUCACCUUGUUCUAACCUUCUUCCUCUUUUACAUGCAAUUUUAAAUGUUCAAGAUUAAAACAUAAAUAAAUUUCUAUAGGUUGGAUGUGCUUACUCCCCAAGGGUUAAGGGCUCAUGUGUUAGAAGCUUGGUACCAGAGUGGCCAGGCUGGGAGGUGGUGUGGAGUCUAGAGGGAGGUCCUUAGGUCACUGAGGGCUGUGUCCUCAGAAGGCAUCAAGAUCAUUUGCACUGAACCCUGUUCUGGCUUUCACAAGAGGUUGUUGCAGAAGAAGCCCACUCGCCACCUGAUAAUGAGAUCUUUGCACGCACCCCUGCCCUCGGAUGCCAUCCUCCAUGAGGCCCUUGCUCAAGCCAAGCUUAUGCAGCCACCAAGUCCUGGAACCUACAGAAGUGUGAUCUAAAUAAAGCUUUUCUUACAAGCCUCAGCUAUUUUGUUAUAGUAACAGCAAAUGGACUGAUAUAUACACAUUGUGGCUCUCAUGGUCUAUGGUGCCUCUUUUCAUCAGGGAAAUCAAAUUUCAAAUAAAGGGCUGGAAACUUCUCAUCCCCUUUACAGCAAAAAAUUUAAAAAAUUAAAAAAAUAAAAG